GACAGAGGGUGCAAACGUUGUUCGGAAUUACUGGGCGUAAAGGGCUCGUAGGCGGCCAACUAAGUCGGACGUGAAAUCCCUCGGCUUAACCGGGGAACUGCGUCCGAUACUGGAUGGCUUGAGUUCGGGAGAGGGAUGCGGAAUUCCAGGUGUAGCGGUGAAAUGCGUAGAUAUCUGGAGGAAUACCGGUGGCGAAGGCGGCAUCCUGGACCAACACUGACACUGAGGAGCGAAAGCCAGGGGAGCAAACGGG
rnacentral:rRNA from 1 species